UACAGAGGCCUCAAGCGUUGUUCGGAUUCAUUGGGCGUAAAGGGCGCGUAGGCGGCGGGGUAAGUCGGGUGUGAAAUCUCAGAGCUCAACUCUGAAACUGCACUCGAUACUGCUUUGCUAGAGGACUGGAGAGGAGAUUGGAAUUCACGGUGUAGCAGUGAAAUGCGUAGAUAUCGUGAGGAAGACCAGUGGCGAAGGCGGAUCUCUGGACAGUUCCUGACGCUGAGGCGCGAAGGCCAGGGGAGCAAACGGG
rnacentral:rRNA from 1 species